rnacentral:siRNA from 1 species
UUCAUAUGGGUGACACAUCAUCA